UACGUAGGGGGCAAGCGUUGUCCGGAUUUAUUGGGCGUAAAGAGCGUGUAGGCGGCCAGACAGGUCAGCUGUGAAAACUCGAGGCUCAACCUCGAGACGUCGGUUGAAACCGUCUGGCUAGAGUCCGGAAGAGGAGAGUGGAAUUCCCGGUGUAGCGGUGAAAUGCGCAGAUAUCGGGAGGAACACCAAUGGCGAAGGCAGCUCGCUGGGACGUGACUGACGCUGAGACGCGAAAGCGUGGGGAGCAAACAGG
rnacentral:rRNA from 1 species